rnacentral:rRNA from 1 species
CCUUGCCAGCCCGCUCAGAAACUCAAAUGAAUUGACGGGGCCCGCACAAGCGGUGGAGUAUGUGGUUAAUUCGAUGCAACGCGAAGAACCUUACCUGGUCUUGACAUCCCGGAGACCCUUAGGAAACUAGGGGGUGCUUCCAUCUGGAAGAAUCUGGAGACAGGUGCUGCAUGGCUGUCGUCAGCUCGUGUCGUGAGAUGUUGGGUUAAGUCCCGCAACGAGCGCAACCCUUGCCUUUAGUUGCCAGCAGUUCGGCUGGGCACUCUAAAGGGACUGCCGGUGUUAAACCGGAGGAAGGUGGGGAUGACGUCAAGUCCUCAUGGCCUUUAUGACCAGGGCUACACACGUACUACAAUGGCCGAUACAAAGGGCAGCGACACUGCGAGGUGAAGCCAAUCCCGUAAAAUCGGUCUCAGUCCGGAUUGGAGUCUGCAACUCGACUCCAUGAAGUCGGAAUCGCUAGUAACCGCAGAUCAGCUACGUUGCGGUGAAUACGUUCCCGGGCCUU